GACGAACGCUGGCGGCGUGCCUAAUACAUGCAAGUUGAGCGAUGAAGAUUGGUGCUUGCACCAAUUUGAAGAGCAGCGAACGGGUGAGUAACGCGUGGGGAAUCUGCCUUUGAGCGGGGGACAACAUUGGGAAACGAAUGCUAAUACCGCAUAACAACUUUAAACAUAAGUUUUAAGUUUGAAAGCUGCAAUUGCAUCACUCAAAGAUGAUCCCGCGUUGUAUUAGCUAGUUGGUGAGGUAAAGGCUCACCAAGGCGAUGAUACAUAGCCGACCUGAGAGGGUGAUCGGCCACAUUGGGACUGAGACACGGCCCAAACUCCUACGGGAGGCAGCAGUAGGGAAUCUUCGGCAAUGGACGAAAGUCUGACCGAGCAACGUCGCGUGAGUGAAGAAGGUUUUCGGAUCGUAAAACUCUGUUGGUAGAGAAGAACGUUGGUGAGAGUGGAAAGCUCAUCAAGUGACGGUAACUACCCAGAAAGGGACGGCUAACUACGUG
rnacentral:rRNA from 1 species